GAUAAACGCUGGCGGCGUGCUUAACACAUGCAAGUCGAACGAAGAUUUUCUUUCGGGAGGGACUUAGUGGCGGACGGGUGAGUAACGCGUGGGUAACCUGCCCUGUUCAGGGGGACAACAGCUGGAAACGGCUGCUAAUACCGCAUAAGCCCUUAGCACUGCAUGGUGCAUAGGGAAAAGGAGCAAUCCGGUACAGGAUGGACCCGCGUCUGUUUAGCCAGUUGGCAGGGUAACGGCCUACCAAAGCGACGAACAGUGGCCGAUCUGAGAGGAUGUACGGCCACAUUGGGACUGAGACACGGCCCAGACUCCUACGGGAGGCAGGAGUGGGGAAUAUUGCACAAUGGAGGAAACUCUGAUGCAGCGACGCCGCGUGAGUGAAGAAGUAGUUCGGGAUGUAAAGCUCUAUCAGCAGGAAAGAAAAUGACGGUACCUGACUAAGAAGCACCGGCUAAAUACGUG
rnacentral:rRNA from 1 species